AACGAACGCUGGCGGCAUGCCUAACACAUGCAAGUCGAACGAGACCUUCGGGUCUAGUGGCGCACGGGUGCGUAACGCGUGGGAACCUGCCCUUAGGUUCGGAAUAACUCCCCGCAAGGGGUGCUAAUACCGGAUAAUGUCUUCGGACCAAAGAUUUAUCGCCUUUGGAUGGGCCCGCGUUGUAUUAGCUAGUUGGUAGGGUAAAAGCCUACCAAGGCGACGAUCCAUAGCUGGUCUGAGAGGAUGAUCAGCCACACUGGGACUGAGACACGGCCCAGACUCCUACGGGAGGCAGCAGUGGGGAAUAUUGGACAAUGGGCGAAAGCCUGAUCCAGCAAUGCCGCGUGAGUGAUGAAGGCCUUAGGGUUGUAAAGCUCUUUUACCCGGGAUGAUAAUGACAGUACCGGGAGAAUAAGCGCCGGCUAACUCCGUG
rnacentral:rRNA from 1 species